rnacentral:rRNA from 1 species
AACGAACGCUGGCGGCAGGCUUAACACAUGCAAGUCGAGCGCCCCGCCAGGGGGGCGGCAGACGGGUGAGUAACGCGUGGGAACGUACCUUUUGGUUCGGAACAACUCCGGGAAACUGGAGCUAAUACCGGAUAAGCCCUAACGGGGAAAGAUUUAUCGCCUAAAGAUCGGCCCGCGUCUGAUUAGCUAGUUGGUGAGGUAACGGCUCACCAAGGCGACGAUCAGUAGCUGGUCUGAGAGGAUGAUCAGCCACACUGGGACUGGGACACGGCCCAGACUCCUACGGGAGGCAGCAGUGGGGAAUAUUGGAAAAUGGGCGCAAGCCUGAUCCAGCCAUGCCGCGUGAGUGAUGAAGGCCUUAGGGUUGUAAAGCUCUUUUGUCCGGGAAGAUAAUGACUGUACCGGAAGAAUAAGCCCCGGCUAACUUCGUG